AAAUGAAUUGACGGGGGCCCGCACAAGCGGUGGAGCAUGUGGUUUAAUUCGAUGCAACGCGAAGAACCUUACCUAGGCUUGACAUAAAUUGGAAGAGUGGCAGAAAUGUCCUCGCUCGCAAGAGUCGGUUUACAGGUGCUGCAUGGCUGUCGUCAGCUCGUGUCGUGAGAUGUUGGGUUAAGUCCCGCAACGAGCGCAACCCUUACCUUUAGUUGCCAGCAUUUAGUUGGGCACUCUAAAGGGACUGCCUGCGUUAAGCAGGAGGAAGGUGGGGAUGACGUCAAGUCCUCAUGGCCCUUAUGUCUAGGGCUACACACGUGCUACAAUGGUGGUCACAGAGGGAUGCCAAACCGCAAGGUGGAGCAAAUCCCUUAAAAGCCAUCUAAGUUCAGAUUGGUCUCUGCAACUCGAGACCAUGAAGUUGGAAUCGCUAGUAAUCGCGGAUCAGAAUGCCGCGGUGAAUACGUUCCCGGGCCUUGUACACACCGCCCGU
rnacentral:rRNA from 1 species